rnacentral:rRNA from 1 species
UACAGAGGUCCCAAGCGUUGUUCGGAUUCACUGGGCGUAAAGGGUGCGUAGGUGGUGAGGUAAGUCGGAUGUGAAAGCUCCGAGCUCAACUCGGAAAUGGCAUUGGAAACUACCUUGCUCGAGGGUUUGAGGGGGGACUGGAAUACUUGGUGUAGCAGUGAAAUGCGUAGAUAUCAAGUAGAACACCAGUGGCGAAGGCGAGUCCCUGGAAAACUCUUGACACUGAGGCACGAAAGCUAGGGAAGCAAACAGG